rnacentral:rRNA from 1 species
CCUACGGGGGGCAGCAGUGGGGAAUAUUGCACAAUGGGGGAAACCCUGAUGCAGCGACGCCGCGUGGGUGAAGAAGUAAUUCGUUAUGUAAAGCUCUAUCAGCAGGGAAGAAAAUGACGGUACCUGAGUAAGAAGUCCCGGCUAACUACGUGCCAGCAGCCGCGGUAAUACGUAGGGGGCAAGCGUUAUCCGGAUUUACUGGGUGGAAAGGGAGCGUAGACGGCAGUGCAAGUCUGGAGGGAAAGGCGGGGGCUCAACCCCCGGACUGCUCUGGAAACUGUACGGCUGGAGUGCAGGAGAGGUAAGUGGAAUUCCUAGUGUAGCGGUGAAAUGCGUAGAUAUUAGGAGGAACACCAGUGGCGAAGGCGGCUUACUGGACUGUAACUGACGUUGAGGCUCGAAAGCGUGGGGAGCAAACAGGAUUAGAUACCCCUGUAGUC